GCUGGCGCAUGCGCAUCGAGGGUGGCGGGGUCGGGGGGGACGUUUCCCGGCAGCCUUUGUUCCAAGAUGGCGGGCUCCAGCCUGCGGUAGGGCUGGAAAGCUACAGUUGGGGUCCAAACUGCUUGGCCAAUCCUUCAUCAUCUGUGUUCUAGUUGCAUUCUACCUCAGUGUUGAACCAACGGGACCAAUUCCACCUUGGCUGGCAGAGUGAAUUAUUUUAUCUCAUUCCCAGAGGCUCUUGGAAAAGGAGCACCUGGAAAUAUCUUCUGGCAUCUCUAUGCAAAGUGACUGGCAACAUGCCAUAAAAAACUGGGAUUCCAUCUCUCCAAGAGGGCACCCAAACCUGCCUGCGAGGGUGGAGAAUGGGAGCAUAUCCAGGUUCCAGGAGACAGUCAGGUAUUUUCUGUUUGAUUUAUCUCCCCAAGCCUGCUCUCAUUAAACCAAAUGACAAAACACCCACUGGCUUCCAAGAGAGCAGAAUUGAAUCUCAGCUCCGUAGGUUGCUUCCCACUCUUGUUAAUACUCUGGUUUGGUGAAACAAUACCUGUGACACAAAUAUCUCUCACCAACAGCUGUACUGAUACCCUUUAAUUAUGUACAAGCUGACCCAACCUAAAGAACAAGCUACCUUAUAGUUCACCAGCUUUCAGGUUACCUCAUGUCUUCAUUCUUCCAGUGCUCUCCUAGUCCUUGAAUUAUCUGUACUGCAUGUAGCACAUUCUACAGAGCCUUUUUAUCAUCAUCAGCUGGAGUACUUGCUACUUCCCAAGGAUCCAAGGUAUCAGUGGAGAAGGAUUGUGAACAAAUGGUGGGGAAAUCUUGUGGAGCUGAGGAAGUUCUCAUAAGACAGUGCUUGAUGGAUUAAACUGCUGGCACGACAUCAAGAAACUGAAAUGAAAUAAAGAUACACAUAAAAAAUCAUUCAGAAGACUGAGUGCAGCAGUAGACAGAACAGACAUCAUUUUGCAAUGCUGCCUUCCAGCGCUUUGACCUCCUAAUGGAAGCCUACAAACGCCAUGUUGGGGGAAAUGUUCAAUCAGUGACCUGAAAACUGAUAGUUUUUAAUAAAAACUUGCCUUCAUGUUAAACUAAUGACUAAGACAAAAAUCCUGCUCUUGUCUACAUGUGGCAGGUCUCUGCUCCACUUGUUAGUACAGACGCCCCCCGCGUUACGCAAACACAACUUACCCAAAUCCGCACUGACAGAAAAAGUUCCGUAAGCUAGACAUAGGUUUUGGGGUUUUUUGGGUAAUGGUCAUUCCCGGCUUACAUAAAAUUCGAAUUAUGCAAGGCGUUCCAGAACAGAACGCUUGUGUAAGUUGGGGAGCGUGUACAUGAAGCCUCUUUGCCAACAUGCUUCAUGAUAAACAUGGAGGAAUGAGAAAGGAAUCCGGUCUUCACAGUUCAUGCAAACCACGGCUGCUCUGUUGAGAUGGCCAACAAGGUGACCCAAACUAGUAGUGGUGAUUUUAGUCCUGUUAUACUUCUAGAAACUGGACUGAGGAUCAUUAAACUCCUUCAUCACAGGCUACCAUCAGAUGGUAACAUAUUCCAGUCAUUACUCAGCCCAGGCAGGACUCAAAUCUGUGACCUGGAGAAGAAAAAUUUUCUUGUCUCCUUAGCAAUCCUCUGAGCCAGUCAGUCCCCUCUGACGGAUCCUGUCUCAAACCUGGAGGCUGACUAUGCAUAGUGAUGAUCAGAGGUGGAAUAUUUGCAAUGAGCAAGUUACAUGCUACUGAAUCACAGCAAGAGGCUCAAUGUCCCAGUUGCAACAGAACUCUGGAGUGCCCUACAGACGAUGUUCUACUCUCCAACUAGCUUCACACAUGUUCACCACCUCAUAGAUGCAGCAUGAGCACUGGCAUCCAGGAAGUUUAGCAUUGUUGAGUCACCUCUUAGCACUGUUAAGUGCUCUCAGGAAUUCUGAACAAGAGGUGCCCUGUAGGUUACUUUAGAUAGCAUAUACUCUUCUAGACACCUGGUACAGACUGCAUUCUCCACAGGGAAUGGAAUUAAGGUAUGGCCACACUAGACAGGCUGUUUGUGGCUCACUCAGGAAUCAAGAACCCUUUUUGCAUGGAAAGCUUAAGCCCUGCAUCACCCUGUGUAGGUGGUCUAGGUAACUCCCUAUUGCACUGUUGCGAACCCACCUGAAUGCUUAGAGAGGUCCAGGAACUCCACAGUAGCAAAUCUUUUCGCUUUACCAAUACUUGGGGUGGGGGAAGGGGAGAGGGCCAGGGAGAAUAGACCUAAUACAAGCAGCUGGGAGCGAGUCCAGCUUGGGUCCGGCAAUGAAAGAAGCUGAAUGUCAUUUGCAAGUCUCUAUUCUUGAAUGGCAACUUCAGCAGAGAGAGCAGCCUCUUUCCCUUUGCUCCAUUUAGAAUGGAUCCUCACUAUAUUGACAGGACUGAGCAAAUCAAUAGGGAAAGAUGGCUGAAUGAUAAGAUUGAUAGGAGAAUAAGGUGUUGAGUGUGAACCAGUUUGACACCACUGAAGACCUAAAGUGAUGGUGCACAAUGGCUCUCAGACCAAGCCUAGCAUUGCAUCUGCCAGGGAAAGACGUCACUGCCACCCACCUAUGGAUGAUGGGAGCCCUAAACUGAGGCUUGGCUAAGGUGGCAGCAGGUUGCAAAGCAAGUCCAGCCAUGGGAUGAGGAUUCCACUAACUGGCUAAAUUUGCUCCAAGAGAGUCCAGGGCAAGGUAACACCAGGACAUACUGUGAAUUUAGUCUAAUCCCAAAUGGGAAUAUGGCUAUGUCACAAAUCCACUAUAUUAUAAUAGUAUGGCUGCCUUGUGUGUGCGCAUAAGUAGUGACAAGGCAAUAAAGAGCAAGGGUCAGUGGCCUUUAACCUUAGCCCAGUUGGCUUUCCUGUUUGAACGACUCCCUAUGUGAUCCACACGUCUGGUGGGAGUGGCGGGGGGGGGAGGAAUUCCACUGAAUAACAGUGAGCUCAUGCAAAAUGAAAAUGUAAUAACAUCCUAACACUCCCUUUCCUGCAGGACGCGGGGCGGGGGGGUUGUAAGGCUUUGGGAUUGGUCUUAACCACCCUCUUGGGAACAAACCUCAGUGCUGGUGAGUUUUUUUAAUUGUAAUUGAAGUAAAAAAAAAAAUGCAGCAAAGCUUCCAUGGAGGAUACAUGAUUGCGGUUUGGGCCGUUACAAGAUGUUGGCAGUCCUGGCUAAUCUCUUUAGUGCUAUCCAAUCACUGUGAACGGAUUUGGCAUUGACUACAGCAGCAGCAACUGCGGGGGAAUUAAAUCAUCAGAUAGGGCACAUCUGGUUCACAAGUCAAGGAGCCUUAUAAUGCUUUUAAUAAAGAAGAGCUGCUUGAAAUGAAAACUGGUUGGACCACAGCUAGAGCCAUACUCCCAGCUCACAGACAACUUCAGAAGACAGCAAAAGUGACUGGAGGCAUCAGGGAAGUUACAUACAAUGGGACACUGGAAAGGACAAGGGUAGGAGGCAAUACAAUAAAAUAAUGAAUUGUAUGGAGAAGGCUGGCUCCCCUUUACUCUGUCCCAUUACACAAGAAUAUUGGGACAAAUGCUGGAAUUAAAAGGCAGCGAGUUCAAAGCCAAUAAGAGGAACUAUUUUUUAAAAAAUUACACAGAAUUAAACUGUGGAACUCACUGUUGCAGGAUGUCAUUGCGGCAAAUGGCAAAGAAAUAUUUAAAAAAAUAUUAGAUGCCUAAAAAGAACUGCUUCUGUAGUUAUACACUAACACCAAAAAUCCUCAUGUUUCAAGGCAUAAUCUGCUGAUCAUCAACUGGAGUUAGGAACCACUUCUCCCACUCAUGCAUUUUCUCCACAGGAUAGUAUUGCACUGUUAAUUGUGUUGUAGAGCUGUUGCCUCUUUGCUGAGCAGGAGCAGGAGCAGGAGCAGACUGCAGGAUGUCACAGGUCAGUUUCCAAUUUGGAGCAGAAAUUGGUGAAAUGGAAUCAAAUAUUUUGUUUGUAGAUUGUUUGUUUAUUCACAAGAUUUACACUCUUUUAUUUCCUUGGUAACAAAUGGGCAACUCUGCUUUUUCAGAAACCCUAGGGAAAGGAACUGCUGCCUUGUCCCAAGAAGCAACUGCCUUGGGCCUUUACAUUUCUCUCAGGUCUCACACAAAACUAUUAAAUACAGUUUUCUCUCCCCCAACUCCUGAGGAUUUUCCCUGCGAAACCCCUUCAACUCAAAACUCCUCCUCUGUGGCCUUCCAAGAGGAACCUGGUUGUCAACUUGCCUUUCGUGCAGCCUUGGAAUUCAAAAGGAGCCUCAGAGCUUUAAGUGCCACACAAAGCAUUUAUCUGCAUUCCAUGCCACAUAGCUGCAUUGAGAUCAGUUGGAAGAGCUGUCAUGGUGAUAUGUGGAGCGGUGUAAGUAUGCCUCAAUUCAACACCAUAUUCCAUAGGUUGUGUCAGCAGAGAUGCACAAGAGUGCUGAUAAUCCCCAUGGCAAGAAGACAGUCAGGCUGGGAUACAUGACAGUGGUAUCCAGGGCUUAGCGAGAGGGGAGUGAAGGCAAUGUUUCAGAGGAAUCCUCAGGGCAAGGUGAAGAGGUGGGAACAUUUUGUAAGUCUGGGAUGGUUCGGAUGGAGUAAGUUCAGUGUCUGAGUGUAGGCCAGGUGCAAUUAGUUAUCGAUUGCAGACUUAACCCCAAGAUUUGCCUUAGCAAAGAGGUGUUACUUUGUCCUAGUGUUCCUGUGCUCUGUUCCUGAAGAAUGCUGUCACAUCUGUAAGGGUAGAGGGCUAGCAUGUGUGCUGUUGGUGUGUUGCUCAAAGGAGGCAGAGUUAAGGUUGAGUUGCAAACCUGGUUGGUUUCACUUAUGUAUUUCCUGGUUUUUAGAAGUUUAAGUGUAGCUGAACUCAGCACUCGGGAUCAAACUCUACCCCAGCCCCUCUUGCAGCAUACCAGUUUUCAAGACACUCUCCCUACACAUAUAAGUUCUAGAGCCCUUAGAUUAUCAUCGUCAUCAUCUGCUUAUUGGGAAAAGAGGGGACUGUAUCUGAGAAACCCCUUGACCAAAUGACCCCAACUUGCACCACUAACUCAUUUCCUAUUCCUGGCAUGUCCUUCUACAAAUAAACUUCUUUCACUUGAUGAGCAGCCAAGAGACAUAUAUCAGGGUGGGUUUUUUUUUUACUCCGGACUUAUCUAAUAUGAUCUUACUGUAGAUAUCCCCCUCAGCGGCUUUGGCACUGCACAGCAGCAGUCUCUUCUGUGUGAAAUGGAGAGUAUCUGAAUGUAACAAGGUGCUGAGUGAUUUAGGGAAAGCAGGAAACAAGGAGAGCCUGCUGGAAGAACUGGUGGCUUCUUUCAGUCCCUUCACAGUCAAAUAUUCAUAGAUGCCUGUCCGAACGAACUUCCAAACACUGUGAGGUUUGCCGAUUGCUGGAGAGAAAGCAGAGAACAGACUCCCCUCUCCCAAAAUGAGUCCAUCUGAUUAUCGGCUAAACAUUUUUUUUAAAAGAAACCUCAAAACAAGGCAGCCCCUUAUUUUUCCUCCACGCCAAGUACUAGUGCAGCUAGUGCCUCUCCUACAGUCUACGUUCCAGUUACCCUGAAGCAUCACAGGUUGUCACAGCACAGCUCAUCUGCUCUGCACAAGCCCAGCAUAUCCCCAAGGUUGGGCCAACGUGAGCCAGCAGUAAAGUCAUGCACAAAAAGAGCUCUCUUGCAGCUUUUUAUUGUGAGGAAGCCACAGUUAAACAGAUUUAAAAAAUAAACAAUAGGAGAUUUUAUACCAAGAGGAAAAUAAGGCCAUUCAGACUAAACAAAAACACAGGCUUUCCAAGCUCAGAUACAGAGCCACUUUUGCUAAAGAACCUAAGUUAGAUGAUUCCCUCACUUAAACUGUUUUCUCUUGGCUGAGUCCUCACUUAGGAAGCCUCAUUAACUCAACCCUUUGCACCUGCUCCAGUGUGGGGAACAAGCUAGAUUAGCCAUUAUCUCCCUCUCUGCUGGGGCCUAUAUGAACAGCUUGUGGUGAUGUCACAGGAAUGCAGGUAAGCAGAAUGGCUAUGUUAAUAAAUCUUAAGACAUGUACAAAUAGGCUCAUCUACACUGUAGGUUAUCAGAGCAUCUGCUCUCUUCUCAGUGAUCAAGUCCCUGCUCAGGGGCAUGAUACCUGCAAGCCUCACAAAUAAGUCAACCAGAAUCAACAUUCACUACAAUACCCACUGCUCCACAGGCCUGAUGCUAGCCUCACACUGGUAUAACUACCAUAGUUACCCUAGAUUUACCCCAGUGUAAAUGAGAUCACAUUCAGACCGUGUUUGAUCUUCUCUUGUUCUGGUUGGUUUCACUUUUGACACUAGUGAGCAAACCUACAACAUGCUGAGCACCUUCUGCUUUCAUCCACAGAAAUAGUUUGUAUGGAAGAAGUUAACAUAGUUUGGUGGCUGUGCAACAUGGGACCAACCUUGUACCUCUGGUCUAUUCAAGUCUUUGAAGGUAACAGACACCGUACCAAAGUACCUCCUGUGGGCUGACUUACAGACCAUCUAGGAAACUGAGGGGGGGAGGAACAGAUUAGCUCCAAACCCACAAGGAGUCAGCAAAAGAUAGAACUCUUUCCCAUCCACCACAGUAUCUUCCCUGGAGAGCUAUUUGCAAUAUUCCCGGUACAUAUUUUUCAAUAGCGCAUACAUCUAUUUUGACUGUAAUUAGUGACAAUGUUAAGCCAUUAUCCCCCGCACAAAAUGACAAGGUUAAUCGUUCUGUAAGCUCUCUCUGCUGGAGGAAGCCAUUUCCCUCUCUAGUUACCAUCUGUUUGAAUGAUAUCUAGAAAUGUGCAUGUGGCCAGCUGAGUCACGUAUAAUUAUGCUCUCUAAGAGAUGCUAUUGUUUUAUGCAUGUGAUUCCUGCCUGUGAACCAGAAUGAAUAAUCCUCUGCUGGUCAAUUUUCAUUGGAAAUACUGAUGCAGUAAACAAUGUUGCUUUUAUUAUUCAUAAUUUAUGUAGUGCUAUAGAGCACACUGCACUAUAAAGCUGUGGGUCAGUGCCGAACAGAUGUCUGCCCCAAAGGUCAUACAAUCUAACGGCCUAAUCCUGUGAAGUGAUGAGUACCCUCAACUCCCUUUGAUGUCAACCAGAAAUCAGAUGGCUGAGAAUUAUUCUUUUCUGUUUCGUAGGCAGUGUUCACAUCCGUCAAUUGACUGUCUCUCUCAGGAGCUUUAUUAAAGGUGACUCAGCAGGAUCAGACAGAUGCUUUGUACAGUAUGAUGGUUUGGGAUUUGUGUGCAAUAAAUACUAUAUGUGCUAUUAGUUGUCUUAGUACUGUCAAGUUGUGUACUGUAUUCAUACAUUGUGAUAAUUCACUAUCGGGUUUGUCAAGAAACGUUCCCAGAAAAGAGGGACAAACAUUUGAAGAACAGUGCUGUCAUGCACUGGCUAGAUUCCCCUGUAGGCUUGCUUAGCAGGUUUCUCCAGCAAUGUCCCAGUCCUAUGAGGAACAGGGGGAGAACAAAAGACUCACUAGGGUUUAAAGACACCAAGAUUCUCAAGAAUUCAGGUGACGAAAAGGGAGUCCAGGAGAGGCUGGAGAUGUCUAGGAAGACAGACCUACCAGGUUCCCUAUGUAGAAGAUGGAAUGACUCUUGCUAAAAUAGAUGUGCGCAUAGGCCUUUUGUUGUUUUAAUUCUUUUCUCCUGUUAUGCUGUGUUCUUACAGUUAAGAUUAAAUAAUAGGGCUUUAGAAGGCUGUUUGGGUCUUCGUAUUCACUACUGGCCAUAACCCCUGAAGG